GAGCCAAAAAAGACCGAAUACGAUUCCUGUAUUCGGUCCAGGAAAUGGCUCUUGGGAGAGAGCCGUGCGCUAAAAGUUGGCAUUAAUGCAGGCUAAGUCGCCAUGCACUUUAAGAAUAGAUGACGACGCCGGGUUUUCCAGUUU
rnacentral:sRNA from 1 species